UACGUAGGGGGCUAGCGUUGUCCGGAAUCAUUGGGCGUAAAUCGCGUGUAGGCGGUCCGGUAAGUCCGCUGUGAAAGUCGGGGGCUCAACCCUCGAAUGCCGGUGGAUACUGUCGGGCUAGAGUGCGGAAGAGGCGAGUGGAAUUCCUGGUGUAGCGGUGAAAUGCGCAGAUAUCAGGAGGAACACCAAUUGCGAAGGCAGCUCGCUGGGACGUUACUGACGCUGAGACGCGAAAGCGUGGGGAGCAAACAGG
rnacentral:rRNA from 1 species